AGCAUACGUCAGCGGCAGACGGGUGAGUAACGCGUGGGAACAUACCUCUUGGUUCGGAACAACACAGGGAAACUUGUGCUAAUACCGGAUAAGCCCUUACGGGGAAAGAUUUAUCGCCGAGAGAUUGGCCCGCGUCUGAUUAGCUAGUUGGUAGAGUAAUGGCCUACCAAGGCGACGAUCAGUAGCUGGUCUGAGAGGAUGAUCAGCCACAUUGGGACUGAGACACGGCCCAAACUCCUACGGGAGGCAGCAGUGGGGAAUAUUGGACAAUGGGGGCAACCCUGAUCCAGCCAUGCCGCGUGAGUGAUGAAGGCCCUAGGGUUGUAAAGCUCUUUUGUGCGGGAAGAUAAUGACGGUACCGCAAGAAUAAGCCCCGGCUAACUUCGUGCCAGCACCGCCG
rnacentral:rRNA from 1 species